rnacentral:hammerhead_ribozyme from 1 species
AUCCAGCUGGCGAGUCUCAAACAGGGCAAAACGCUCGUCCUGAAU